UAACUCCGUGCCACCACCCGCGGUAAUACGGAGGGCGCAAGUGUUUUCCGGAUUCUCUGGGUUUAAAGGGGGCGUGGGGGGGUUAUUAAAUCAGUGGUGAAAUCUGCGGGCUUUCCUCGGAACACCCCAACAGAUACUUUCUGUCGUGAAUUAUNUGGAGGUAAGCNGAAUAUUGUCAUGNAGCGGUGAAAUGCUUAUAUAUGACAACGAACACCGCUUGAGAAGGCAUGCUUG
rnacentral:rRNA from 1 species